rnacentral:rRNA from 1 species
AGAGUUUGAUCCUGGCUCAGAUUGAACGCUGGCGGCAGGCCUAACACAUGCAAGUCGAACGGUAACAGGAAGAAGCUUGCUUCUUUGCUGACGAGUGGCGGACGGGUGAGUAAUGUCUGGGAAACUGCCUGAUGGAGGGGGAUAACUACUGGAAACGGUAGCUAAUACCGCAUAACGUCGCAAGACCAAAGAGGGGGACCUUCGGGCCUCUUGCCAUCGGAUGUGCCCAGAUGGGAUUAGCUAGUAGGUGGGGUAACGGCUCACCUAGGCGACGAUCCCUAGCUGGUCUGAGAGGAUGACCAGCCACACUGGAACUGAGACACGGUCCAGACUCCUACGGGAGGCAGCAGUGGGGAAUAUUGCACAAUGGGCGCAAGCCUGAUGCAGCCAUGCCGCGUGUAUGAAGAAGGCCUUCGGGUUGUAAAGUACUUUCAGCGGGGAGGAAGGGAGUAAAGUUAAUACCUUUGCUCAUUGACGUUACCCGCAGAAGAAGCACCGGCUAACUCCGUGCCAGCAGCCGCGGU